rnacentral:tRNA from 1 species
AGCUCAGUGGGAAAGCACAUGCUUUGCAUGUAUGAGGCCUUGGGUUCAAUUCCCAA